rnacentral:rRNA from 1 species
AACGAACGCUGGCGGCAGGCCUAACACAUGCAAGUCGAACGCCCUAGCAAUAGGGAGUGGCAGACGGGUGAGUAACGCGUGGGAACGUACCCUUCGGUUCGGAAUAACCCAGGGAAACUUGGACUAAUACCGGAUACGUGCGAGAGCAGAAAGAUUUAUCGCCGAAGGAUCGGCCCGCGUCCGAUUAGCUAGUUGGUGAGGUAAUGGCUCACCAAGGCGACGAUCGGUAGCUGGUCNGAGAGGAUGAUCAGCCACACUGGGACUGAGACACGGCCCAGACUCCUACGGGAGGCAGCAGUGGGGAAUAUUGGACAAUGGGCGCAAGCCUGAUCCAGCCAUGCCGCGUGAGUGAUGAAGGCCCUAGGGUUGUAAAGCUCUUUCGCCAGGGACGAUAAUGACGGUACCUGGAUAAGAAGCCCCGGCUAACUUCGUGCCAGCAGCCGCCGU